rnacentral:rRNA from 1 species
UACGGAGGAUGCAAGCGUUAUCCGGAUUUAUUGGGUUUAAAGGGGUGCGCAGGCGGCGCGUUAAGUCAGCGGUGAAAUGUCCCGGCUCAACCGGGGCCCUGCCGUUGAUACUGGCGAGCUGGAGUACGGACGGCGCCGGCGGAAUGUGUCAUGUAGCGGUGAAAUGCUUAGAUAUGCUACAGAGCACCGAUCGCGAAGGCAGCUGGCGAGGCCGGUACUGACGCUCAGGCACGAAAGCGUGGGGAUCAAA